GGGCCUAUAGCUCAGUUGGUUAGAGCAACAGACUCAUAAUCUGUGGGUCCUUGGUUCGAGCCCAAGUAGGCCCC
rnacentral:tRNA from 1 species